rnacentral:lncRNA from 1 species
AACAUCAAUAUUAAUUUAAUGACAUUCCAUAAGAAUAAAAAUCCAAUAGGACCAAGAUCUUAGCAGUUCACACCCGGUCAGAGGGACAAAAUUGAGAACCAUGCAGAUCAGCAAAGUGUGAGUUACACUCUAAUGAGGAACAGGACAUCUGAAUUGGAAAAUUGCAAGGUUUCCCACUGCCCAAGCUGUUUAAGUACCGGUAUCACAAGUACCAAGACGGAAGAAAUAUGAAGGCCAAGUUAAUAAGUAGUUACUUCAAAUUAAUUUGAAUAGAUAUAUCAACAAAGCAUUGAAUGUUCUUUAAACUGCAUAUCUGUAGAAAAGAGUGUAGUACAAGUUCAGGUUCAUCAGCGGGCAAGUAUACAAAAUUUCACACAAAAUACAAGUAAGAAAUAUUUAUUUUGUAAUUGGCAAAUUUAUUACCUUUUAUUAAUAUUUAAUACUUCUACUAAUUCUUAGAAAUUUUUGAGAAAUUAAAUAUAAUUUCCAGUUUAAAGGCCUAUUGUAUACAAGACAAAAAUUUAUAUUUUGAAAUAAAAAUCAUGCGUAGAUAAAUGUUAAUAAAGGUGAUCAGAGGAUUAAGAAAUAAUUUUAGUAUCAUUCCUGGACCUCAUUUCAUAAACAAGUUAUUACUAUCAUAAUCUUGUCACUAUGAAAAUUACCAUGGUAACAGGGCUGAGCAAGAAAUCAAGGUCUUCAUGGUAGCUGCAAUGGGCUUGGACAAAGUUACCAUAAUUGCAAGUCUUCAUAGAAUGGCUCAAUAAUUAUGUAGGAAUAUCAAAUUGCAUUUAUUGUUAUCUUACUUUUUAAAAAGUUUUGACAUGGAUUACCUCUGCAAAAAUAUGUAAAUAGACUAUAUUUUUAAAAAUAGAUUGAAUUCUAGCCACAGAGACAGCUAACAAUAUCAAAUUUUGUGAAUGAUUCACUAAUGUAUUGACUUGGAAAGGCACACUUUAGGGAGAUUCUGGAAUUAUCCCCCCCCCCCUUUUUUUUAAUGUGGAGUGCUCUUACAUUAGUAGAAUAUUUCUUGUCAACAAAUUUGGAAGGAAUUUACCUCCUUUUUUUUGAGUGACAAACUUUUGUGGAAAAAUAAACAGAAUAUCACAGAUUUUAUGCUCUUUUUAUGAAAUCCUGGAUGCAUCUCUUAUAUUAACUUUCAAGCUCAUCGACAUUAUUUGAAUGAAAUUUUAAUAAACAUUGUAUAUUUUGACUUAAGUGUAGAAAAAUGUACUCAAGCCUUUAUUUUUUAAAUCUAAUUUAAUGCUUGUAGACUCUAAUUAUUAUUGUUAUGUUAUUUUCAGUGUUUUAGAA